rnacentral:rRNA from 1 species
GACGUAGGGCGCAAGCGUUGUCCGGAAUUAUUGGGCGUAAAGAGCUCGUAGGCGGUUUGUCGCGUCUGCUGUGAAAACCUAAGGCUCAACCUUGGGCUUGCAGUGGGUACGGGCAGACUAGAGUGCGGUAGGGGUGACUGGAAUUCCUGGUGUAGCGGUGGAAUGCGCAGAGUAUCAGGAGGAACACCGAUGGCGAAGGCAGGUCACUGGGCCGCAACUGGAC